rnacentral:tRNA from 1 species
AGGUCCUUAGUAUAGUGGUAGUACAGUUGUUUUCAAAACAAAUCGUAUGGGUUCGAAUCCGAUAUGUUGGC